rnacentral:misc_RNA from 1 species
UUGGAGGAACGUGCGGCAAGGAAACAGGCACUGCUGAAGCAGAGGGCGCUAUGGGGGAGCUCGACUAGGGAACUCCGCGAGAGAGAUGGAGAUGGGCUGGGCACAGGGAAGAUGGACGAGCGCGCGUGCUUGAGGGAGACGAACUGGGGCAGGGAGGACGCGGCAGGUAAACCUCAGUCCGAGCGCCGUCCGAGCAAGGGCCAGGGCGCGGCCAGAAUGGAAGCAGAGGCUUGA